UGCCAGACUCCUACGGGAGGCAGCAGUGGGGAAUAUUGCACAAUGGGGGAAACCCUGAUGCAGCGACGCCGCGUGAGCGAUGAAGUAUUUCGGUAUGUAAAGCUCUAUCAGCAGGGAAGAAGAUGACGGUACCUGACUAAGAAGCCCCGGCUAACUACGUGCCAGCAGCCGCGGUAAUACGUAGGGGGCAAGCGUUAUCCGGAUUUACUGGGUGUAAAGGGGGCGUAGACGGCGAUGCAAGCCAGAUGUGAAAGCCCGGGGCUCAACCCCGGGACUGCAUUUGGAACUGUGUGGCUGGAGUGUCGGAGAGGCAGGCGGAAUUCCUAGUGUAGCGGUGAAAUGCGUAGAUAUUAGGAGGAACACCAGUGGCGAAGGCGGCCUGCUGGACGAUGACUGACGUUGAGGCUCGAAAGCGUGGGGAGCAAACAGGAUUAGAUACCCGCGUA
rnacentral:rRNA from 1 species